AUACGGAGGGUGCAAGCGUUAUCCGGAUUCAUUGGGUUUAAAGGGUGCGCAGGCGGAAUGAUAAGUCAGUGGUGAAAUCCUACAGCUUAACUGUAGAACUGCCAUUGAUACUGUCAUUCUUGAGUACACUUGAAGUGGGCGGAAUGUAUCAUGUAGCGGUGAAAUGCAUAGAUAUGAUACAGAACUCCGAUAGCGAAGGCAGCUCACUAAAUUGUAACUGACGCUCAGGCACGAAAGCGUGGGGAGCAAACAGGAUUAGAUACCCUGGUAGUCC
rnacentral:rRNA from 1 species